UGACACCUCACAGCUAAAUAUACUGCAAGUGGCAGCAACAGGUGAGCGCUCUUCCACAGACAUGCACUGAGCUGGGACGCAGGAGGUCACAGGGUGUGUGAAUGUGUGUGUGUGUCUGAGUGUGUAUGUGUCAGAGGGUGUGGGGGUGGGGGUGUUGGAUUGUGGACUACCUCAGCUGCUCACUUUGCAGAAAAGUCAGACCCAAACGCUGCCCAGCUCGGGCUGCCCCGCUCUCCAAAGCCAGCUGGUCUGGCUUAGCUUUUAUUCACCUUUUUAUUUUCAUUUUUUGUUUCGGCUCAUCUUGUUUGAUACAAGGGACUGAGUGAGCAAACCCACAGCUGGAGCUGCUGGGAAUCCUUCCAGGUGAAGACAGAAACAGAAAGCACUGGUGCUUACUUACUCACUGACAGCCCGGGAAGCGCGUGCUCUGCUCCGGGAGGAGACGACUCGCUGGAUGGACUGAAGUGAACCGCUGGACGGAGACACGCUGCAAGCAGGACGUGGCGUGACGAAUCAUGCGGGACUGAGCGGGAGUGUGUGUGGAGAAGCGGGAGAAGUUUUCCUGCCAACCCGGUGUGUCAGCUGCUGCUUCUUAUUGAACAAUGAGCUCGUAGGUAAGAGCUCGAGCUGAACGGAAUACUUUUUAUACACAACCGCGGAAGGGUCGAGUUUCCCGCCUUGGACUUUUGGGAAUACUUUGGACAUUUUCCUGCCAGAGACUCAUUGAAGUCGGAAAGAGAUUUUAUGUUUUAUUCCUCAGAAAAGUAAGUGAUAGAAAUCACCUUAAAGACCCCUUAGACUUUUCCUCUUGUCAGUCUUUUGGUGGUUGUUUUUGGGGAAUGUCUCUAUAACGCUGGUUCAGAAUGGAUGAGAAGUGUCUGUAGACAUCAAAUCAUUUAAGAUUUAAUAUUUAAAACAUAUAACUCUGGACUUUGGCUAGGUCAUUCUAACAUGCUUUGAUCUAAAAUC